UUUUUUUCUUUUUCUUUUUUCCCCUAGGGCUGCACCCAAGGCACAUGGAAGUUCCCAAGCUAAGGGUCGAAUCAGAGCUGCAGCUGGUGGCCUAUGUCAGAGCCACAGCAACGCGGGAUCCGACCCACACCGCAACCUGCAGCAAUGCUGGAUCGUUAACUCACUGAGCAAGGCCAGGGAUCGGACCCGCAUCCUCAUGGAUACUAGUUGGGUCCUUAACCUGUUGAGCCACGAAGGGAACUCUGCAUACUGUAUUCUUGAUUUACGACAGUUCCUAAUUUUUAUACAGUCAGAAGGCUUUCUUCCUUUAUGUCUUCUGUCAUUACACCUAACUCUUUAAUUGUUCUGAAAUUUAUUUUGAUGUUUGAUGUGAGGUAGGAAAUCAAUUUAUAUCUUCCCUUCAAUAAUUUGUCAACUGCUCCAGCAACACUUUUCCCCACUGAUUUGAAGUCUCUAACAUAAGUUAUAAAAUUAGGAGUUCUCUUGUGACACAGCAGGUUAAGGAUCAAGCAUUGUCAAUUCAGUGACUCGGGUCGCUGCUGUGGCACGGGUUCAAUACCUGUCCUGGGAAAUUCCAUAUACCAUGGGCACAGCCACACACACACACACACACACACAAAGAUUAAAUCAUCAAAAAAUAAAAAGUAACUUAUAAAAUCAGAAAAAGCUUCUUGCCAUAACUUUACCUGGCACGUUUCGCUCUCAGAAAUAUACCAGUAGCAACAAAAUGAUUGUGAAUACUAUCCACCUAUCUAUCUGAAUAAAAGUUUUAUAAUACAUGCUCAAAAGCAUUAAAACCAACUUUGAUUUAACACCAUCCCUUUCUCUGAAACAAUACUAGGGUACCAUUUGUGUAUUCAAUCUCUCUUUAAUUUCACGCACAAUCCAACAGUAAGCCACUGAGUAUGGGGAAGGCAGGGAAGACAGGAAUACAGUAUUCAGGAAACCAAACACAAUAUUCCUUUGUCUUUAAAAUUGCAUUUUACAUAACAAUUAUUUUGAUCUUCAUGAAAUAAAUUGAAGGAAUACAAUACAAGGAAGUAGGGUUUAAUGUAAAUUUGAUGGCUUUUUAUACUCAGAAGGUCUAAAAUAUCAUUGUUCUUGACAUUUAACUGCACUUUAUAAUCUAGAUGUAACCUAAGAAAGAGUAGUACAGAAACUUUUCAAAGAGUCAAGACAAAAAAACCACAACCUAGCAAGUACGUCUUUGAUGUUUUAAAAGCAGCCAAAACAAUGUAUUCUAUGGGAAAAUCUAAAGCAGACAUAUAGAAUUUUGCCUGUUGUGAGCCUUGUAUGGGAGACUUUUACAUUACUGUGUCUUAUGUAUAUAAAUGGAUUAUAUAGCUUUAGAAAAAUGGUUCAAUGCAUCUUUAAAGUGUUUCCAAAGUGAAAAUAACUUUCUUAAAGCUAAAAGUCACACAGAGUACCAGUUUUAGUGACAGCAAACUAUCAGAGUUACAUUCAGCCUCUUACUUUCAAAGGCAGUAAAAGCUAUAUAACAGAACCAAAUAAAAACCCUAGUCUUAAAGUUAUGGGAGGGAGAUUGAUGCUAGAUUUAAGAUUGAAAACUUGCACUUUGGCCAAAAGUUAACUUAAAAGAACAACAACAACCAAAAAAAACUCAAUAUUUUAAAAACUAUUAGUAUAUCCUUUAGAGAAUUUACUUGACUUCCAAUUAUUAUUAUUAUUAUUUUUUUUUGGUCUUUUUGCAGUUUCUUUGGGCCGCUCCCGCGGCAUAUGGAGGUUCCCAGGCUAGGGGUCCAAUCGGAGCUGUAUCCACUGGCCUACGCCACAGCCACAGCAAUGCUGGAUCCGAGCCGCGUCUGCAACCUACACCACAGCUCACGGCAACGCCGGAUCGUUAACCCACUGAGCAAGGGCAGGGACCGAACCCGCAACCUCAUGGUUCCUAGUCGGAUUCGUUAAUCACUGCGCCACAACGGGAACUCCCCCCAAUUAUUACUUUUUUUUAUUUUGCAUUUUAGGGCUGCACCCGCACCAUAUGGAGGUUCCCAGGCCAGGGGUCUGAUUGAAGCUACAGCUGCCGGCUUACACAACAGCCACAGCUAUGCCAGAUCCAAACCGUGUCUGCUGACCUACCCCACAGCUCAUGGCAACACCAGAUCCUUAACCCACUGAGCGAGGCCAAGGAUCGAACCUGCAACCUCAUGGUUCCUAGUUGGAUUCGUUUCCACUGUGCCAGGACGGGAACUCCAAAUUCCAAUUUUUAUCUGAAUUUCAAAAUUGUUAAAUGUUUGAUGCCAUCACCUGAGAGAUGUAGACAUGACCAUCAUUGGUCACCUACCCAUCUAGCAAAUUCAAAAGCGUUACACUCCUGCCUGCUAUUGCCCUGGCUUAAGGACUCUCGCAGCUCCAUCUGUGUGCACAUAUUCAAGGAAGAAGGUAAUUGAAACCUAGACUAAAGCAAAAAGUCAAUGGUUCUGCUGUUUAGCCAAAAGGAAAAAACAGCAAAGGAGAAUAUAAAACAAAUACCUUAACAUGAAACACUGGUACAUGAGUUUGCUUAUGAAGCCUAAAUUAUUAUGAUUUACUUCCGGCUUAUAAGCAGCUGGAAAGUUCUCCGGGCAACUCAGGAAGUGGUUUUGUUUUAAAGAGAGAUAGCAGUUUUGCCUAGUUGGUAGAUAUAAACAGCUCUGCUGGAUCUGGCCCUUGCUCCUCUGUGUGCUCUACCCCUAUUCCUUGGCCCUCAUGCUACUUCACAUCCAAGGGAUUUUUUCCCUGUUUUUCCAUCAUGCCAAGAGCUUGCCAAUGUUAAAGCUGUAGUAUUAGCUGCUCCCUUAGCCUGGAAGGGUUUUCCACUUGAUCAACCCCACAGCUGGUUUCUUUAUAUUAAGGAUUCAGGUUACCAAUCACUACUUCAGAAAAGCCUUCUUUGAUUAUCAAGUUAAAAGAGUCACUCUGUCACUAUCCUAUCUCUCCACUUUAACUGUCUGUAUCAUUUAUGAUUGUCUUUUUUUGUUGUUGUUGUUCAUUUGAUCACUACUCUUUGCUGCCAGCUCCAUGAGGAUAGGGACUUUUGUUUGUUUUGUUCAGUGCUCUAGCCCCAGUACCCAGAACACUGUCAUAGGCUAGCUGUCCAAUAGAUAUUUUUUCAGCAAAUACCCUUAGCUGGUUUGCAGAAUUUUUUUCCUGGCCACACCUGUGACAUGCGCAAGUUCCUGGGCCAGGGAUCGAACUCGUGCCACAGCAGCAACCAUAGCUGCCAUGACAAUGCCGGAUCCUUAACCCGGUAUUGUCAUUGAAGUGCUAGAGAACUCCAACCAGCUAUAUUUCUAAUCAGCUUUCUCCUGCCCAUAUGCCUCAAUAUAAUGAGGUUAGACAAGAGUCCAUUCCUCUGCCUCUAGGUGGAUCUGGCCUUUUGGUCUCUAGUACAGCCACAUCAAACAAGGCCAUGAUUCUCAACAAGAAAAUGAAGCAACACUGGUGCACCUAAGGAGGAGGCACUAGGAAGCAAUCUUUCCCAUUAAUCACCUUGAUCAUUAAGAGUUUCCUGGGAGUUCCCGUCAUAGAGCAACAGAAACAAAUCUAACUAGGAACCAUGAGGAUGCAGGUUCGAUCCUUGGCCUCACUCAGUGAGUGGGUUAAGGAUCUGGCGUUGCCAUGAGCUGUGGUGUAGGAAUAGAAAAAAAAUAUGUAUCAGAACAGGUCAAGACUAAGAAAAAUAUUAGAACAAAGAUUUAACUCUAUUUUCUGGUGAUCAAAUAAAAAAUGUAUAACCAGUUACUUUUCAAGGGAGCAAAGGCUUUUCUAGCAUGUAGACUUGAGAAAAAAAAUGGUUCAUGUGGGUUUUCAUAAAUGGACCUGAUGAUAUAGUGAACCACAUCCACUACAGAAUUGCUGUAUUAAAAAUAGUAACAGAUUUUUAGAGGAGUAAUUCUUGUAACAUUCCUCAGUGUAAUCUAAACAAACAUCAAAUCAGUAAAAAAAUAAUAAUUCUUCUGUGACACAGGGGAUUAAUGAGAAAAUGGAUCUAAGUACAUUACUCUCUUUGGGUCUGGACUGAUCCAGAGUUAUAUAUAGGAUACAGAAAAUUGAUUUCAUCUUGCAUACCAAAUUGGACUGAUUUCUAGUCAAUGUCUUUCAUGGUGAACUGCCUGUAGUACUGUGUUAAGAAUAAUUAAUAAUCAUAAUCAUAAAUAUUUUAAGCUUUACAAGGCAUAUGGUCUCUGUAGCAACUACUCAACUCUACCACUGUAGCAUGAAAACAGCCAUAGCAAAUAUUUAAAGAAAUGGACAUAGUUAGGGUCCAUCCAACAAAAUCUUAUUUAGAAAAGCAAGUGGCAGGCAAAAUUUGGCCCAUAGGCCACAGUUUGCUGACCCUUGAUUUAGAAGGACAGAGAGGCUACUAUUCCUUCAAAUAGGCCCCCAGAAAUAUAAUUUUUCUUGAUACAGCAUUUGAUAAAAUUUGGAUACAUGGCAGUUUGAAAUUACAUCUUCUUUCCUGAGCCCAUAGUUCAUAUUUUCUAGGCUGCUGAUUAAGGGCAAAUCCAUCUUUGAAUAGAUAAAGAAGCAAAUAGCAAAACUGCCAUUUUAAACUACUAAUAAGCAUCAAAAGUAAGUUUAAUUUAUACUGGCACUAUGCAGUAGAAAUUUCUGUGAUGAUAAAAGAGUUUUAAUCUACACUUUUUCUUAUCUGAUAACAGUAGCCUCUAGCCACUCAUGGCUACCGAUACUUGAAAUGUGGCUAGUGUGACUAAGGAACUAAAUAUCUAACUUUAUUUAUUUUUAAAUAGCCACAUGUGAAUCAGGGCUAUUCUAUACUUUAAUAUAUCAUUCAGCACUUACUUAACUAUAUACAGACAAUAAAAAAGUAAUGCCUUGACUCGAAACGUUAGUGGGUAUUAUUCCCUUCACCCCAAAAGAGGUUCCUUGGUAACAUGAUUGGAGAAAGUAAAACAACAGACUUCUUAUAGCUGUUAAUAUACUAGCACAAUUCACUAAUUUUCAAGAAGGGAAUACAGUAUUCAACCUUCUUUGUUUAAAAAAACAGCCCCCAAUAUGUCACAAGUUAAUGUCUUCAUUUGCAUUUGAAUAUAGUAUAUUUAUCUGAAGAAUUGGAAAUUCACAAUAAUAAAUCUUAAAAGCAUCAUUAUUUUCCUUCUUUAAUUAAUUUUCUAUCACUUCACAAACUGAUGAAAAAGAUAGCCAUAUAAGGGAAUAAUGGUCAAUGAGAUGGUAGAAUACGAAGCCUCAGACUCCCCUUCCUACCACAGAGAUACUGAUUCAACAACCAUACACAGACCACUUUUCCUUGUUAGAAAUAUAGAAACCAGUUAAGAGACUCCUACAUUCCAGGUGAGUGUGAAACCAGAUACAUGAAAGCCAACAGGAAAAUAUGUGGUACACUCCUGCCAUAGUCCCUUCCCCCAGCACAGAGCCAUGCAAUUAGGAAGAAAUGCCCAGCUCUUUCUGGAUCCUCCCUGAUGAGGGUAAGAGAAGACGAGUCCCUAUAUCCAACUUUCUGACAUUUAGGGUGACCUUGCCCAAAAGAGUAGAGCCUGACUUGGAGUACCAAUGAGGCUUGGCAUACUCUAGGUUGCUGGGGGCCACUGAGGACAAAAGAAAAGAGGUGGAUAACAUGCAGCUACUACAAGAGGACCAGUGGAACAGCAGACAGAUAUCAGAGGGCACAAGCGAUUACAAGCUCCUGAAAAAUAAAUUAAAUAAACCAGAAAAUCCCUCAAUUUAAAAUAUACACACAUAAGUCCAGAAUAGACUUGUCUAGAAAAAAGGCUUCAGAGGCCCCCAGAACUUCUAGCAAGGUUGAUUGGUGAAGGCCCUUCCUUGUAGGAACCAGUUAUUAAAGACUUAGUUGGCUGUUUUUUCAAAUGCACAGAAAACAACACAAAGUUACAAUGAACACACACAUAUAUAUACACAAACCAAGGAAAAAUGGCCUAAAAGGAAUAAAAAACUACAGAAACUGACUCUAAAAAAAAACAAAAACAAAAACACAGAGGUACAUUAUAUGACAAAGAAUUCAAAACAGCUAUCAUAAAUACGCUCAGAAAAAUCAUGCAUGACCAAAUUAAGAAUUUCGACAAAGAAAUAGAAAACAGAAAACAGGAACCAUGGAGGGAGUUCCCUCUGUGGUGCAGUGGGUUAGGGAUCCGGUGUUGUCUCUGUGGUGGUGCAUGUUCCAUUCCCAGCCCAGCACAGUAGGUUAAGGAUCUGGCAUUGCUGCAGCUAUGGUGAAGGUCACAGCUACAACUGAGAUUCCAUCCCUAGCCUGGGAGCUUCCACAUGACACAGGUGUGGCCAAAAAAAGAAAAAAGAAAAAGAACCAAACAGAAAUUUGGAAACUGAAGAAUGCAAUAAUUGAACUGAAAAAUUCAUUAGAGGCAUCCUUUUUUUUUUUUUAGAGGUAUGCUUUAUUGACAACACAAAUGUGUGAAUUCAUCAUUUCCUUUUUUAGGUAUAGAGCUAAAGGCACAGGGGGGGGGGUGUCUUAGGCAUCCAACAAUAGAAUUGAUCAAGCAAAAGAAAGAACAGCAUAUUC
rnacentral:lncRNA from 1 species